UACGUAGGGCGCAAGCGUUGUCCGGAAUUAUUGGGCGUAAAGAGCUCGUAGGCGGUUUGUCGCGUCUGUCGUGAAAGCUUGGGGCUUAACCCCAAGUCUGCAGUGGAUACUGGCAAGCUAGAGUGCGGUAGAGGAUGGUGGAAUUCCCGGUGUAGCGGUGAAAUGCGUAGAGAUCGGGAGGAACACCCGUGGCGAAGGCGGCCAUCUGGACCAGCACUGACGCUGAGGCACGAAAGCGUGGGGAGCAAACAGG
rnacentral:rRNA from 1 species